CCAUCCACGUAAAAGCCGUAUCGAUUUUUUUUAAGUCGGCUCUAAGAAUAAACCCUACAGCUACAUGGGACAGGUCAAUAUAUUAUCUUGACACAGCUCCUCAUUAUAAUGACGCCGGAAGCCCUCACAAGCAACACAGCUCGAUCAACUCCUCCAACAUAUAAUCCGCCAGCAUCCCUCCAAAAGCCACUCAUCUCCUUCUUAAACGGAUAACCUGGGUUACCAUUGGGCCUUAACAUUUAGCAAGAACAAGGUUCAAGAAACAUGCCUCCUUAGUCAUCAGGGCUUACGCAACGCAAUAGUCAAAGUGCAUGAACGGGGUUUUUGUACUUCAAGUGAAUGCAUAGUGUUUGUUGUGGAGGAUAAACCAAAGCCAUUGGUGGAUAUGAUACCUAACCCCAAGUUAAGGGGACAACAACUAUCUAACAAAACACUGCGCUUUGUUGAAUGCGAGAGAACGUAAUUACUUUUACGUGGCAGUAACGGCGGAGAUGUUUUCUUUAAAUGUGUUAAGGUAUGAUGCCACAACAUGAAGUGUUGGAGAUGAUGUUUACUAUAACAAAAAUGAUGCGUAUUCCCACUACAAGUAUUUGAGGGAUGCAGUUCUCCACAUUGUGAACCCGAAGGCAUGGGAGCCAAAAGACGGCAAGCCAGAUUGGGCUUGUUAUUACUCACGGAAGCUCCUCUGGAUGUAGGAGGAGAUGAAUGAUGACAGGAGGGAUGAAUUUGUAGGGAAAUCUCAGAAAAAGAAUGGAGAGACAGUAUAGAGCCGGCUAUAAUUGUCGAGUCAAGCAAAAAUGGAACCGGGAAUUGCAUUGCCUAGCAUUUUUGCAAUAAAAAUGCAAUAUAUUUCCUCUUUAUAUUAUUCCCUUCAAUGGAAAAACCGAGCUAGAUUUUGAGGGGCCACGAACAGUGGCACAUGAGAACCUUUUAAGGGUGAUUGAUAUUGAUGUUGGAAGACAAUUGACAUUAUACGAGGCUGCUGAUCAAAUAAUUCUCCUAUGGCUAAAGAACCAUAGAAUGCAAUAUAACAGAAAAAGUGAGCAGUAUGGUUGUCCAGCGACAAUGCAAAAGAAUUUAAAACAAUAAUCAGGGGUCUUCUGAAUGCUAUACUGAAAGUGCAUGAACAUGGGUUCUGCACAUCAAGGGAGUGGACGGUGUACGUGCACGAAAAUAAGCCGAAGUUGUUAGUCGAUAUGUCACCUAACCCCAAAUUAGGGGCUGAUGCUGUUCACCGUGGAGCAUACGGAAAAUGCUAAUAUGCCUGUGGACGUCCAAUGUUUUGUAGAUUUCCUAAAGGAUGAAAUCGCACAAUGGAACAACGUAUACCUCACGAAGUGCUCAUGGAUUCCCGGGAGCGCAUGUACUUUUUUGUUGGUGUAAUGGCCGAAAUGGAUUCUCUUGGAUCGGCUGCAACCAUUAGACUAAAACUAAAAAUGUCUCCGUUCCUGGAUGUAUCAAUCGAAGGGGAUGUUCUAAAAAAUUGGACUUUAAGAAUUCUGACACAUUCACUUGCCGAGGACGUAUUAGUUUUUUUAUUCCAAGACAGGACAUUAUGGAGACGAGUUUCGCUAUAAAAAAGAAGAUACGUAUGAACAUUAUAAGUUUUUGAGGGACUUUGUUCUUCAUAUGGUGAGCUUGAAGCCAUGAGAAAGGCCAAAAGUCAAUUCUAAAUGGGGACUAGGAAAGGACAUACAAUAUAUUGAUAAAGUUCUUUCAACCUUAUAUCGCGAUUCAAUUUCAAACCUGCAGAGGUUCCUGUUAGAGGAAUCAAAACUUGGGCACUUUCUGAAGCAAUGGCCAAAAGGCUUUGCGUCUACUAGAUGCUGCUUUUGUAUCAAGAUCUGCUCUGACUGAUGCUCUCAAGCUAAAAGAACCAAAACAAGAACAGUGAGGCGGCGGCGACAAUAGCAAAUGGAGAGAUGGUGGCGGUGGUGGAUGAAGAGAUGGAUGUCGGCGGUGGUUGUGAGAUCCAGCUAUGCUUAUUUAAACCAAAUAAAUCUCCCCAAUUUGUGUUUGCCUCGUUUGUAUCGAACAACAAAUCAAGGGAAGAAGUUACAGACUUCGAUUCUUCACGGUGUACCCAGAAAAGCUACAAGAUACAUUCGCAAACCCCACAUCACCAUAGUCUGCCGCUGCCAUUCGCCUGCCUCACCAUCACCAAAACCCAAGCAACCCCACUGGCGAGGAUGAAGACGGCGGUUUGCGAGGGUAGUGAGCUUAGAACGGCGGUUCGCGAGCAAGUGGGAAUCUCGGCCGGUGGUGGCAAUGGCAGCAAACAGCGAUUCCGGCGAUGGGCUUUGGAGAGGACUGGUUCGGCCGUGAGCUCGAGACGCCUCCGUCUUUAUCUCCCUCCCCGGCGACGGCUCCGUCUAUAUAUAUAUAUAUGUAUUUAUAUAUAUAUAAUUUGUAAAUUUAAAAUAUAUAUAUAUCUAUGUAUAUGUGUAUCCGAAAAUAUCGUUCUCACAUUCAAGUGUCAGGCUCCGAACAGCUUGGUUCCAGUGACUUCGCCAGUUUCUCUCCAAAACAGGAAAAAUGAUUUUGGCAGUAUCACUUGACAAUUCUAUGUGAUCAAAUUCCUUGUGUGAUCAUUGUUUCACAGAAACAUGGCACGCUCAGCCACCUGCCAGAUAAAACCAAAUAUAUUAGGGAGAACAAGGAACACAUAAUUCCUUAUUAGUUUCUUACUAGUUCAAUCCUUGUCAGUUAGUGUGAAACGAUUAGACAAACGAUAAACAAAAGGGAAAAUAUAUUAUGUCCAACUUCACUACUAUAUCUUUGUAUAUAUAUAUGUAUCUUCUCCAGUUUUCCCUUCCCUCCGCUACCACCAAAUGAAGGAAAAGAAGGGUCAA